AUGGGCUCGCUGCUCCUGCUCUCCUUGCUGGUGAUUUCUGGGGUCGGGGUCGGCGGCGGCGUGAGGCUGGCGGGCAAUGGCGGGUACGAGGACUGGAGGCUGGGCACGGCGACCUACAUCAAGGAGUCCCAGGGCCACCCGCUCAAUGACGGUGGCGGCGCUUGCGGGUACGGGGACCUGGACAUAUUCAGGUACGGGAGGUACACGGCCGGGCUGAGCGGCGCGCUGUUCGGGCGGGGCAGCGCCUGCGGCGGCUGCUACGAGCUCCGGUGCGUCAACAACAUCCUCUAUUGCCUGCGGGGCAGCCCCACCGUCGUCGUGACGGCGACCGACUUCUGCGCCCCCAACUUCGGCCUCGCAGACGACUACGGCGGCUGGUGCAACUUCCCCAAGGAGCACCUGGAGAUGACCGAGGCCGCCUUCCUCCGGGUCGCCAAGGCCAAGGCUGACAUUGUCCAGGUGCAGUUCCGAAGGGUGAGCUGUGACAGGGCCGGCGGAAUUCGGUUCACGAUCACCGGCGGCCCCAACUUCCUCCAGGUGCUGAUCACCAACGUGGCAGCCGACGGCGAGGUCGACGCUGUGAAGGUGAAGGGGUCGAAGACCGGGUGGAUACCGAUGGGGAGGAACUGGGGGCAGAACUGGCAGUGCGACGCGGACCUCCGAGGCCAGCCGCUCUCGUUCGAGGUCACCGGAGGAAAGGGGAGGACGAUCACCAUGUAUAACGUUGCGCCUUCGGACUGGAUGUUUGCGCAAACGUUCGCAGGCAAGCAGUUCGUCGAGUAG
rnacentral:rRNA from 1 species